GGCAGCAGCCACCGGGAUGGGCAGCAGCCCCCUGCCGCGGGGCGGGUCCUCGAGUUCCGGGGCCGCUAGCUCCGAGGGGUCGGCUCUGGGGUCCCCAUACAGCUGGUAGCACACAAGGCCGACCAGCCCCCCGCCAGCCGCCGCCGCGAUGCUCAGCUCGCCCCAGCGUCGCCGCCGCCACGCCGCCUCCGCGACGGCCCCCUCGUCCUCCUCCCGGCAGGAGAAGGGCCGGCCCGACAUCCCGGGAGCCGUCCCCGCAGGCCGCCCCCACGGUGAGAGGAAGGGCUGCUGAGGGGCGAGCGCCGGCGACAGCCGAGGCGGCGGCCACAGGAACCUCCGCAGCGCAGCCAUAGCGGGAGCUGCGGGCCGGGCCGAGCCGAGCCGAGGGGACGGAGGGGGGCGGGAGGGGCGGGCCGAAAUCUCGCGAGAAGUCGGCGCGGUGCUGGAGCUCGGAGCGGACCCGCGGUCCUCCGUAGCCCGGGCGGUGCUUCCCCGAGAGUCGCCGUGGGAUGCAGCGCACGGGCGAGAGAAGCUCCAAAGCUUCCCAAGUCCAGGCUGUUCUCCUUCCUGCUUCCUCAGCCCAGCCACGCCGUGGUAGAGGACGGCGCCCGUAACCACGGCUGUGGGCAAGGGACCCCCAACCCUGGGGAACCGCUGGGAGGCGGAACUCCAGGAGCCGAGCUGCGGGGUGACCCGGCGCCCCUCCAAGACAGGCCGCGCUGCUCUGGGUGCCCUGCUCGGUGCCGAAUUCUCUGAUGCUCCGAGCGCUUUGUGGUUGCGUGCAGACCGUUGCUUCAAUCAUAAAGUCUGCAGUUCUGAAUGAAUAUUUUUGGACUCCAUAAGGCUGGCUUCUGGACUUUGGGCAAGGACAGGCUAAUGAUUUAUAGUUAGUGUUAAUAUUUUUUAGGAACUACUAGUAUGUGUAUGUGACAUUACUCAGUUCAAUAAAACCGUCAAAUAUGUG
rnacentral:lncRNA from 1 species